rnacentral:rRNA from 1 species
AUUGAACGCUGGCGGCAGGCCUAACACAUGCAAGUCGAGCGGAUGACGGGAGCUUGCUCCUUGAUUCAGCGGCGGACGGGUGAGUAAUGCCUAGGAAUCUGCCUGGUAGUGGGGGACAACGUUUCGAAAGGAACGCUAAUACCGCAUACGUCCUACGGGAGAAAGCAGGGGACCUUCGGGCCUUGCGCUAUCAGAUGAGCCUAGGUCGGAUUAGCUUGUUGGUGAGGUAAUGGCUCACCAAGGCGACGAUCCGUAACUGGUCUGAGAGGAUGAUCAGUCACACUGGAACUGAGACACGGUCCAGACUCCUACGGGAGGCAGCAGUGGGGAAUAUUGGACAAUGGGCGAAAGCCUGAUCCAGCCAUGCCGCGUGUGUGAAGAAGGUCUUCGGAUUGUAAAGCACUUUAAGUUGGGAGGAAGGGUUGUAGAUUAAUACUCUGCGAUUUUGACGUUACCGACAGAAUAAGCACCGGCUAACUCUGUG